rnacentral:misc_RNA from 1 species
CAACCCUUAAGCUCAGCUUAGUGUUGGGAAUCUACCGCGAGCGGUGCUACCCUGUAGCCAUCCUGUAGUUCCUCAAAUCUAACGGCGGAGUUAUAGUUACCUCUGAGCGCAGUAAUUUUUAUCACGCUUGCGAAGUGCUAUAAUUCUAGCCGCUAAACACCCCAAUUUUUAAU